AGUGAACGCUGGCGGUAGGCCUAACACAUGCAAGUCGAACGGCAGCACAGUAAGAGCUUGCUCUUACGGGUGGCGAGUGGCGGACGGGUGAGGAAUACAUCGGAAUCUACUUUUUCGUGGGGGAUAACGUAGGGAAACUUACGCUAAUACCGCAUACGACCUACGGGUGAAAGCAGGGGAUCUUCGGACCUUGCGCGAUUGAAUGAGCCGAUGUCGGAUUAGCUAGUUGGCGGGGUAAAGGCCCACCAAGGCGACGAUCCGUAGCUGGUCUGAGAGGAUGAUCAGCCGCACUGGAACUGAGGCACGGUCCAGACUCCUACGGGAGGCAGCAGUGGGGAAUAUUGGACAAUGGGCGCAAGCCUGAACCAGCCAUACCGCGUGGGUGAAGAAGGCCUUCGGGUUGUAAAGCCCUUUUGUUGGGAAAGAAAAGCAGCAGGUUAAUACCCCGCUGUUCUGACGGUACCCAAAGAAUAAGCACCGGCUAACUUCGUG
rnacentral:rRNA from 1 species